UGGGGAAUAUUGGACAAUGGGCGCAAGCCUGAUCCAGCCAUGCCGCGUGAGUGAUGAAGGCCCUAGGGUUGUAAAGCUCUUUCACCGGUGAAGAUAAUGACGGUAACCGGAGAAGAAGCCCCGGCUAACUUCGUGCCAGCAGCCGCGGUAAUACGAAGGGGGCUAGCGUUGUUCGGAUUCACUGGGCGUAAAGCGCACGUAGGCGGACUAUUAAGUCCGGGGUGACAUCCCGGGGCUCAAGCCCGGAACUGCCUUUGAUACAGGUAGUCUUGGGUUCGAGAGAGGUGAGUGGAAUUCCGAGUGUAGAGGUGAAAUUCGUAGAUAAUCGGAGGAACACCAGUGGCGAAGGCGGCUCACUGGCUAGAAACAGACGCUGAGGUGCGAAAGCGUGGGGAGCAAACAGG
rnacentral:rRNA from 1 species